UACGUAGGUGGCAAGCGUUGUCCGGAUUUAUUGGGUUUAAAGGGUGCGUAGGCGGCUUUGUAAGUCAGUGGUGAAAUAUGGCAGCUCAACUGUCAAGGUGCCAUUGAUACUGCGGAGCUUGAGUACAGAUGAGGUAGGCGGAAUUGACGGUGUAGCGGUGAAAUGCUUAGAUAUCGAUCAAGAACACCUAUAGCGAAGGCAGCUUACUAGGCUGUAACUGACGCUGAGGCACGAAAGUGUGGGGAUCAAACAGG
rnacentral:rRNA from 1 species